UGAGUAACACGUAGGUAACCUGCCCAGAAGCGGGGGACAACAUUUGGAAACAGAUGCUAAUACCGCAUAACAACGUUGUUCGCAUGAACAACGCUUAAAAGAUGGCUUCUCGCUAUCACUUCUGGAUGGACCUGCGGUGCAUUAGCUUGUUGGUGGGGUAACGGCCUACCAAGGCGAUGAUGCAUAGCCGAGUUGAGAGACUGAUCGGCCACAAUGGGACUGAGACACGGCCCAUACUCCUACGGGAGGCAGCAGUAGGGAAUCUUCCACAAUGGGCGCAAGCCUGAUGGAGCAACACCGCGUGAGUGAAGAAGGGUUUCGGCUCGUAAAGCUCUGUUGUUAAAGAAGAACACGUAUGAGAGUAACUGUUCAUACGUUGACGGUAUUUAACCAGAAAGUCACGGCUAACUACGUGCCAGCAGCCGCGGUAAUACGUAGGUGGCAAGCGUUAUCCGGAUUUAUUGGGCGUAAAGAGAGUGCAGGCGGUUUUCUAAGUCUGAUGUGAAAGCCUUCGGCUUAACCGGAGAAGUGCAUCGGAAACUGGAUAACUUGAGUGCAGAAGAGGGUAGUGGAACUCCAUGUGUAGCGGUGGAAUGCGUAGAUAUAUGGAAGAACACCAGUGGCGAAGGCGGCUACCUGGUCUGCAACUGACGCUGAGACUCGAAAGCAUGGGUAGCGAACAGGAUUAGAUACCCUGGUAGUCCAUGCCGUAAACGAUGAGUGCUAGGUGUUGGAGGGUUUCCGCCCUUCAGUGCCGGAGCUAACGCAUUAAGCACUCCGCCUGGGGAGUACGACCGCAAGGUUGAAACUCAAAGGAAUUGACG
rnacentral:rRNA from 1 species